GCCCUCUCAGGAUCGCACCUGGAGAGUUUCCAGUACUCUACCAGUGUCGGCUAUGAGAGGGAGAGGCAAGUAGAGGCCCACCCAAUCCAUUCCUAGCUUGGGCAGUGGCUAGCGAGUAGAAGACAAUCUGCUACAAGU